rnacentral:rRNA from 1 species
UGGGGAAUCUUGGACAAUGGGCGCAAGCCUGAUCCAGCCAUGCCGCGUGAGUGAUGAAGGCCUUAGGGUUGUAAAGCUCUUUUGCCGGGGACGAUAAUGACGGUACCAUAUGUAAGCCACGGCUAACUUCGUGCCAGCAGCCGCGGUAAUACGAAGGUGGCAAGCGUUGUUCGGAAUUACUGGGCGUAAAGCGCGUGUAGGCGGCUCUUCAAGUCAGACGUGAAAGCCCCAGGCUCAACCUGGGAACUGCGUUUGAUACUGUCGAGCUAGAGUGUGGAAGGGGCAAUCGGAAUUCCGUGUGUAGCGGUGAAAUGCGUAGAUAUACGGAGGAACACCAGAGGCGAAGGCGGAUUGCUGGGCCAACACUGACGCUGAGACGCGAAAGCCAGGGUAGCAAACGGGAUUAGAUACCCCCGUAGUCCCUGAGCGGGCUGGCAAGGCGCAU